GAGUGAACGCUGGCGGUAGGCCUAACACAUGCAAGUCGAACGGCAGCACAGUAAGAGCUUGCUCUUACGGGUGGCGAGUGGCGGACGGGUGAGGAAUACAUCGGAAUCUACUUUUUCGUGGGGGAUAACGUAGGGAAACUUACGCUAAUACCGCAUACGACCUACGGGUGAAAGCAGGGGAUCUUCGGACCUUGCGCGAUUGAAUGAGCCGAUGUCGGAUUAGCUAGUUGGCGGGGUAAAGGCCCACCAAGGCGACGAUCCGUAGCUGGUCUGAGAGGAUGAUCAGCCACACUGGAACUGAGACACGGUCCAGGCUCCUACGGGAGGCAGCAGUGGGGAAUAUUGGACAAUGGGCGCAAGCCUGAUCCAGCCAUACCGCGUGGGUGAAGAAGGCCUUCGGGUUGUAAAGCCCUUUUGUUGGGAAAGAAAAGCAGCAGGUUAAUACCCCGCUGUUCUGACGGUACCCAAAGAAUAAGCACCGGCUAACUUCGUG
rnacentral:rRNA from 1 species